AGCGAACGCUGGCGGCAGGCUUAACACAUGCAAGUCGAGCGGGCAUCCUUGUGGUGUCAGCGGCAGACGGGUGAGUAACGCGUGGGAACGUGCCCUUCGGUUCGGAAUAACUCAGGGAAACUUGAGCUAAUACCGGAUACGUGCGAGAGCAGAAAGGUUUAUCUGCCGAAGGAUCGGCCCGCGUCUGAUUAGCUAGUUGGUGAGGUUAUGGCUCACCAAGGCGACGAUCAGUAGCUGGUCUGAGAGGAUGAUCAGCCACACUGGGACUGAGACACGGCCCAGACUCCUACGGGAGGCAGCAGUGGGGAAUAUUGGACAAUGGAGGCAACCCUGAUCCAGCCAUGCCGCGUGAGUGAUGACGGCCUUAGGGUUGUAAAGCUCUUUUCUUCGGGACGAUAAUGACGGUACCGGAGGAAUAAGCCCCGGCUAACUUCGUG
rnacentral:rRNA from 1 species